CUUAUAGAAGCAGAACCUGGACAUUGCUGAAGCCCUAAACCCUUCCAUUGGGGGUUCAAAUCCCCUCUAUAACU
rnacentral:tRNA from 1 species